CCUAGUGGUUAGAGUGUAGGGUCGGCAGGUAGUCUAGUGGUUAGAGUGUAGUGUCGGCAGGUAGUCUAGUGGUUAGAGUGUAGGGUCGGCAGGUAGUCUAGUGGUUAGAGUGUAGGGUCGGCAGGUAGCCUAGUGGUUAGAGUGUAGGGUCGGCAGGUAGCCUAGUGGUUAGAGUGUAGGGUCGGCAGGUAGUCUAGUGGUUAGAGUGUAGGGUCGGCAGGUAGUCUAGUGGUUAGAGUGUAGGGUCGGCAGGUAGUCUAGUGGUUAGAGUGUAGGGUCGGCAGGUAGUCUAGUGGUUAGAGUGUAGGGUCGGCAGGUAGCCUAGUGGUUAGAGUGUAGGGUCGGCAGGUAGCCUAGUGGUUAGAGUGUAGGGUCGGCAGGUAGCCUAGUGGUUAGAGUGUAGGGUCGGCAGGUAGCCUAGUGGUUAGAGCGUUGGAAUCCCUGAGCAGACAAGGUACAAAUCUGUCGUUCUUCCCC